rnacentral:misc_RNA from 1 species
CCUGUUAGGACAGUAUGGAUCCAUCAGAACUAAGGUAUUUGGAAGACGAUGAUACUCCCACAAUGAAAACAAUCAAGGGUGCAACUAUGGGUUUAGUAGCUGGAACUAUCUGGGGGACUGUGGUUGCCACUUGGUAUGAUGUGCCUCGUGUUGAGAAACAUAUUGCACUUCCAGGGCUAAUAAGGACCGUCAAGAUGAUGGGUAACCACGGCAUAACUUUUGCAGCAAUUGGAGGAGUUUACAUUGGCGUUGAGCAGUUGAUGCAGCAUUAUAGGAUGAAAAGAGAUUUUGUCAAUGGAGCUGUUGGUGGCUUUGUUGCUGGUGCCUCCAUUCUGGGCUUCAAAGGAAGGAGCAUUUCAACAGCUAUUUCUGCUGGUACAGCAUUGGCAGUCACUUCUGCAGCAAUUGACGCUGGAGGUCAAACCACCAGAAUUGACACUGGCAAGGAGUACUACCCUUACACCACCAAGAAAAGAUCCACUGUUGAGAGUUAAUUUCUUGACACUGUUGGUAAAAUGGAAGAUGCUAGCAAACUAAUGGGAAGAAGUUUUCAUGGUUUCUUGAAUGGCCUGUAUGUUUUUGGAUAUGUAAUCGUAUUCUUGAAUCUCAUAUCUACAGCUCUCUUGUUACUCUUAGUGCCUGAAUGGGUAAUCUAAAUAAAUACACUUGUCAUUUUUUUUUUCAAAAGAUCUGUUAGAUGUUUAUUUUUCAGUAUGAGACGGCUGUUGUUUUUCAUAUAGUAAAUUGAAACAGAGGCCAAGAAAAAUAAUUGUUUUGGUACUUUUGAAUGUGAGAGAAGGAUUAUGUGGAGAUUUGUCUU